rnacentral:rRNA from 1 species
CAGUAGCGUAUAUUAAUGUUGCUGCAGUUAAAAAGCUCGUAGUUGGAUUUCUGGCAUGAUUUGUCUGGCCCGCCGCCAUGCGGUGAGUGCUGUGACGCAUCUGCCAUCCUUCUGGUAAGGCUGUGCUGCCCGAAAGGGUUGGCGCUGUUUCCGAACCAGAUCUUUUACUUUGAAAAAUUAGAGUGUUUAAAGCAGGCUUGCGCUUCUGAAUACAUUAGCAUGGAAUAAUAAUAUAGGACUAAAGUUCUCUCUUGUUGGUUCUAGGAACUUCAGUAAUGAUUGAUAGGGAUAGUUGGGGUGCUAGUAUUCCAAGGCCAGAGGUGAAAUUCUCGGAUUCUUGGAAGACUAACUUAUGCGAAAGCAUUCACCAAGGAUGUUUUCUUUUAAUUCAAGAACGAAAGUUGGGGAGUCGAAGAUGAUUAGAUACCAU